rnacentral:rRNA from 1 species
UGGGGAAUAUUGCACAAUGGGCGAAAGCCUGAUGCAGCGACGCCGCGUGAGGGAUGAAGGCCUUCGGGUUGUAAACCUCUUUCGCUCAUGGUCAAGCCGCAACUGUGGGUUGUGGUGAGGGUAGUGGGUAAAGAAGCACCGGCUAACUACGUGCCAGCAGCCGCGGUAAUACGUAGGGUGCGAGCGUUGUCCGGAAUUAUUGGGCGUAAAGGGCUUGUAGGCGGUUUGUCGCGUCUGCCGUGAAAUCCUCUGGCUUAACUGGGGGCGUGCGGUGGGUACGGGCAGACUUGAGUGCGGUAGGGAGACUGGAACUCCUGGUGUAGCGGUGGAAUACGCAGAUAUCAGGAAGAACACCGGUGGCGAAGGCGGGUCUCUGGGCCGUUACUGACGCUGAGGAGCGAAAGCGUGGGGAGCGAACAGG